ensembl:processed_transcript Gm12655 predicted gene 12655
GAUGGACAUCCUCACACUGUGAACCAAAGCAGUCCCUCCAUUGAGUUGCUUUUCAGCAUUUUUGUUCGGGUUUUGCAAUUCUGAAAAUCCAUCCCAGCCAAACAUUGAGUCAUGCCCCCAGUCCUUCAGUGGCCUUAUGUCACGGCAGUGAAAAGUGUCUGUCUCCAGAUGGCUCGUUAGACCCAAGGAGCAAUUCUCUUUCACUUAUAAUAUCUGCAAGUAUUUGAAUUGAUACUGAUAUCUUCAGAUUUUGUUGAAAGCUGUUGUGCAGGUCCCAGCUAUUCCAUGUCUUCAUGGCAGAUGAGAAGUGCAUGGCUGUCUGUAAGCAGAGUGUAAAAGAUGGAACAGAUUGUUUUCUUAGGUGCACGCAGGCUGACACUGAAGAUGCACACGUGCCAUUGAAAUAAACCAAGAGUAUUGUGUGGCUUCCAGAGCCCUGCCUGUACCUGCACCUUUUCCUCUUCCACUCAAGAACUCAUGUUAGCAGAUCACCGGUUUUAUUGACAACAGUCAUCAGCACCAG